GUGAAUCAUCAAAUCUUUGAACGCAAAUUGCACUCUCUUCGGAGAGUAUGCCUGUUUGAGGGUCAGCCUAAAAAAAAAAAUCGACAUAGUCGCUGUUUCGCGGUGACAUUCGUCGGAAAUUGUUUCAUCUUAUACCUUUGGGUUUUAAUUGUCUUAAAAUUUUCUUUACGAUUCCCCGAACUUUUCUAAUAUUUACUUCUUAUACGUUUAAGGUAACGAUCUUUAUUAGACCUGGCCGUUGAAACAGAUCUCG
rnacentral:misc_RNA from 1 species